UUUAAGGUCUAAUCUGCCCUAUGAGGAAUUAAAUGGCCGCGGUACUCUGACCGUGCAAAGGUAGCAUAAUAAUUAGUUUUUUAAUUGAAAGCUGGAAUGAAUGAUUGGACGAGAAAAUUACUGUCUCAAUUUAAUUUAAUUAGAAUUUUAUUUUUAAGUAAGAAAGCUUAAAUUUAUUUAAAAGACGAGAAGACCCUAUAGAGUUUUAUAUAUUUAUAAUUAUAGAUUUUUUAGUAUUAUUUUAUUUGUAAUUAUAAAAGUAUUUUAUUGGGGCGAUAGAAAAAUAUAAAUAACUUUUUUUUUUAUAUAACAUUAAUAUAUGAUAAUUUGAUCCAAUUUUAUUGAUUAUAAGAUUAAAUUACCUUAGGGAUAACAGCGUAAUUUUUUUUUAGAGUUCUUAUCGAAAAAAGAGAUUGCGACCUCGAUGUUGGAUUAAAAUAAAUGUUUGGUGUAGGAGCUAAAUAGUUAGGUCUGUUCGACCUUUAAAAUUUUACAUGAUCUGAGUUUAAACCGGCGUGAGCCAGGUUGGUUUCUAUCUUUAAAAAAUUAUAAUAUUUUAGUACGAAAGGACCAAAUAUUUGUAAUAUUUAUUAUUUUUUGAUUAGUAUUA
rnacentral:rRNA from 1 species